UGGUGUGACUGCGUACCUUUUGUAUAAUGGGUCAGCGACUUAUAUUUUGUAGCAAGGUUAACCGUAUAGGGGAGCCGUAGGGAAACCGAGUCUUAACUGGGCGACUAGUUGCAAGGUAUAGACCCGAAACCCGGUGAUCUAGCCAUGGGCAGGUUGAAGGUUGGGUAACACUAACUGGAGGACCGAACCGACUAAUGUUGAAAAAUUAGCGGAUGACCUGAGCAAGGUGAUGGUGCAGGCGCGUCUCAAUUCCGGCAUGGAGAAAUUGCUGCGCCAGGAUUCCGCCUUCUGGGUGGUGAAGCCGCAGAUCGGCCGUGAAGGCGUCUCCGGGCUGGGCACGCUGCUCUCCGGCGCCUAUAUCGAACUGCAGCCGGGCAACAAAGGCAAAGACGGCAAAGACAACUAUCAGCUGCUCAAUGCGCCGCCGCUGGCUUCCC
rnacentral:rRNA from 1 species